GGGGAUUUAGCUCAGCGGUGUAAGCACCUGCUUGGAAAGCAUGAGGUCAGGAGUUCAAGCUCCAGUACCUA
rnacentral:tRNA from 1 species